UAAAAAUUUUAUUCUGAUUUAAUUACUUAUUUUAAUUUGAUGUUAUAUGUGAAAUUUUAUAUUUUAAUAAUUUCUUAAUGAAUUAAUUAAAUUAUUUUAUGCAGUAAUGAAUAUUAAAUAAUAAAGGGAAUUUUGAUUUAGUUAUUUUUGUUAGUUUUGAUUAAAUAUGUGCCAGCAGUCGCGGUUAUACAUAGGAUGCAAAUAAGUAUUUUUAGUUAUGCAGUUUAUUAUUUAUUAAUAUUUAAUUUGAUUAUUUUUAGGUAAAAUUUAAAUUUUUGUUUUAGUUUUAUAUUUAUUUUAAAAUGAGGCUGUGAAAUCUAAAAUAUCUAAACUAGGAUUAGAUACCCUAUUAUUUUAGACUUAAAGAUUUAAACUUGAGUAGUAUUAGAUAUGAUCUUGAAACUUAAAGAAUUUGGCGGUAUUUUAGUCUAGUUAGAGGAAUCUGUCCCAUUAUCGAUAAUCCACGUUGAACCUUACUUAAUAUAAUUUAAUAUGUAUACCGCUGUUUAUUUGAAGAUCUUUUUAGGGAUAAUUUUCUUUAAAUUUUAAUUAAUUUUAUUUCAAGUCAAGGUGCAGUUUAUAAUUAAGUGGUGAUGGAUUACAUUAUUUAUAAAAUAAAUGGAUUAGAGUAUGAAAAUAUUUUAUGAAGGAGGAUUUAAUAGUAAUUAAUAAUAAGAAUAUUUUUGUGAUUUUAGCUCUGAAAUGUGUACACAUCGCCCGUCACUCUCGUUAUUAAGAUGAGAUAAGUCGUAACAAAGUAGGUGUACCGGAAGGUGUAGCUAGAUUGAU
rnacentral:ncRNA from 1 species